AACGGCCUACGGGACGCAGCAGUGGGGAAUAUUGGGCAACGGGCGCAAGCCUGACCCAGCAACGCCGCGUGAAGGAAGAAGGCUUUCGGGUUGUAAACUUCUUUUCUCAGGGACGAAGAAAGUGACGGUACCUGAGGAAUAAGCCACGGCUAACUACGUGCCAGCAGCCGCGGUAACACGUAGGUGGCAAGCGUUAUCCGGAUUUAUUGGGUGUAAAGGGCGUGUAGGCGGGAGCGCAAGUCAGAUGUGAAAACUCAGG
rnacentral:rRNA from 1 species